AAAAGUUGUUUUUUUUAUUAUUUUCUAUUUUUUUUACAUUGGUGGACAAGCUUAAAUUGCAGCUAUAUUUUGACUAAAUGAGCUUCUGGUGGGGAGAUACUG